ACCACCUGACCUGGACGGGGCGGGCAUGCGACUGGCCCCUCCCCUCCUCCGUGCUCCCCAAACCUUCCCGGCCUCCAGACUCCACUGGAGGAGGAUGAAGAAGGGACAGCAUUUGAAGGACUGAGUCUUCCAGGCCACUCACUUGUGGACGGUGGGAGAGGGUCGCCUUGACCCAGGGCUUCCUGGACUGUCUGCUCCUCUGAACCUGGACACCCACUAAGUGGAGGUGACACUACCUGCCCUCAGCACCAUCUCUAGGUCAGAACUACACAGACUCCAGACUGGUGACCAGCCCUGGCAUCCCCACAAGCCCUCCAUCAUUUAGGAGAAGUCGCAUAUCAGGAUCUGGCCUGAGCAAGUCCCAAGUGGGCGAGAAAGUGGGUCUGCUCCCAUUAUGCUUGCUCCAGCCGCACAGUGUCACCCUGCUUCAUCACCACAGCCAUGACCUCAUGGGAAGCUCUCCAAGACCAUAUUUUGAGUUUUAUGUACAGAAGGUGCAGCUUGACAUGGCCUGAAUGUACUGCUUCGCCAUUAGGAAGCCACACAGAGAUGGCUCUAAAGGUUAGUGGAAAACAGGUGUUCUUCCCAAGAGACCAACUUGAAAUGUUUAACUUGUGGUUUGUAUGAAAGGAGAAGUUCUCUCAGAUAAGGACCUGAGUCUACUGGCCAUGCUUCUCAAAGGAGCAAAACACAAGGAUUAACCACAGAGAGUUGGAGAAGAGUGUAUGUAGAGAUCUCUUGGAAAGGCCCCUAUAUCUAGCCACCUCUAGCCUCUUAAUCUAGCCGCCUAGUUUGUCCAGUGAUCUUAUAAACAAGCUGUCCAGGCUGGGGGGCUAGAAAUGAGGCAAGGUCUCUAUAAUAGCAACUUGAUAUGUAAUUUGAAGCAGCUACUACCAUGCUAAAUGCCCAAUUUACCCAACUACUGAGUUCAACUCCAAGUAUU